rnacentral:rRNA from 1 species
CCUACGGGUGGCAGCAGUGGGGAAUAUUGGACAAUGGGGGGAACCCUGAUCCAGCCAUGCCGCGUGUGUGAAGAAGGCCCUCGGGUUGUAAAGCACUUUCAGUGAGGAAGAACGCCUGGUGGUUAAUACCCAUCAGGAAAGACAUCACUCACAGAAGAAGCACCGGCUAACUCCGUGCCAGCAGCCGCGGUAAUACGGAGGGUGCGAGCGUUAAUCGGAAUUACUGGGCGUAAAGCGCGCGUAGGUGGCUUGAUAAGCCGGUUGUGAAAGCCACGGGCUCAACCUGGGAACGGCAUCCGGAACUGUCAAGCUAGAGUGCAGGAGAGGAAGGUAGAAUUCCCGGUGUAGCGGUGAAAUGCGUAGAGAUCGGGAGGAAUACCAGUGGCGAAGGCGGCCUUCUGGACUGACACUGACACUGAGGUGCGAAAGCGUGGGUAGCAAACAGGAUUAGAUACCCCAGUAGUC